AAGCCAUACCCGGUGCACGUUGAGAGACCUUACCCGGUUCCAGUCAAGGUUUGGGUACCGCAACCGUACCCGGUUGAAAAACCUGUGCCGGUGGAGGUCGAGAAGCCGUACCCCGUGCACGUCAAAGUGCCAGUUGACAGGCCUUACAAAGUGGCGGUAGAAAAACCGUACCCUGUCACAGUUGAAAAGCCAUACCCGGUUCAUGUCAAGGUUCCAGUACCCGUCAAGGUCGAAUCACACGGAUGGCAGUCUGACUCGGGAUUAUCGAACGGAGGACACUAUGCGGGAUCUUCUAGCUACGAGUUGUCCUCUGGAUUAUCGCACGGAGGCAGCUACGGAUCUCACGGAGGUGACGCCUCAGUUUUACUGAACGGAGGAUCUGGAUGGUCUCAAGGAAAUUCUGGAUGGUCCCAAGGAAAUUCUGGAUGGUCUUCGGAACAGCAGAGCGGCUGGUCUGGACAUUAACCAGAAAACCAGUUGCCCAAUUUUUGUACAUUUUGUUGUAACGAGUCAGCGACAUUGAAUUUGUACUCUUUAGUCAUAUUCUUCUAUAAUAUAAAAUGAAUGAUAUUGAAUAAAUAUACAUUUUUAUAAAUAUUGGAGUGUCACGUGUCUUGUAAUUUUGAUUUUCCAAUCACCCUUGCGAGUUCCGAUUCUUCAGCAUUUCUGGAAUACGUCUUGAACUUGGUCGGAAAAAAGCAACACC
rnacentral:misc_RNA from 1 species